CAAGGUUCCCCUCCAAGGUUCCAUACCUAUGCGAACCCAAACUUACACACAAACUUAUCCUAACUCAAUUAGAGUUCAACGCAGCAUUAAUAACAAAAUCAACUUCAUAAUAUAAUUGAAUUGUCUUAAUACAAGAGUUUAUAUAAGUUCAGAGUUUUGGAGCACUAACUAGACAUAAAGGAAAGGUACCAAGUACAACCAAAAAGCAGGUUCUGAAGGUCCAACAAAAUGACCUGUUAUUAAGCUAUAAGCCUGAAAAGGAUAAAUAAUGAGAUGGUGAGUUCAACAACUCAGUGAGUAGAUAACGUUCAAUACACACACACAAGGUAAUACAGCAAUGAGAAAUAUAUAUACAAUUGGCUUUAGGUUCUUAUGGAAGUUUUCUCAAAUUGGCCAUAACAAGAAGAUCAUAUGGUAAAACUCGUCAGAAAAUCAAAAUGCAAUGAGCAUGAGGCUCCGUACUGUGGGAUGAUCAGUCCACACAGGUUGGUGACUCCCCCGACCAACUAGGGUUCAGAUACGAUGUGCACAAAGACUAACACUACCCUGUUAGCAUGGGUAUUCUGACUGACAUACCAUAGGUUUAUAAUCAUAAUCAAACAGACAUAUUCAUAUCUCAAGGCUCAACUCAUGACAUCAAUCAAAUGAGGAGCUAUCAAUUCAGAAGUCAAUUCAUAAUAUAUAUACUGGUUCAUAUCAAUAAUUCGGAUUCAACAAUUGAUCAUGCUUAUCAUAACAAGGAUAAUAAUCAACAUAUAUAUUAUCAAGAAGCAUGAUCCAAUUCAUAUUAACAAAUCAAAUAUUUAUAAUAUUUCUCAUGCAUAUGGAAAAUUAUCCACUCACCUGACUCAAAAGCAAACAGAAGCCAAAAGCAGACACCGAAGAAAAUCCUACUGACGUCCCGCCGGUAGAAUAUCAGGAUUAUCUGAAUAUAAAGGAGACAUAUUUAAGAACGACUCGAAAGAACAUUUAACCUAUUUAAUAAACUUAACUAAUAAUGUAUUCCGUAACCCUAUAUGUUUUUGAACUAACUAGUCAAUUUUCUCAAAAACCCAAAAUUUAACGGUUUUUUCCGAAAUCUAAUCCAUAAUAAAACAACUAAUAAAAUUGGCAAUAAUUCACUAAAUAACCCUUAAUUAUUCAUCAAACUAAUCUGCAAAAGCUAAUAUUACAGAUAGGGAAUAAUCUGUAAUUUAUCCUAUUUUUAAGGGUCAAAUUGCAACUUUUGUCUAAUUGAAGGACCAAACUGAAAUUUAUCAUAAAUCCAUGAAUAUACUGAAAUUCUGACCAUAAUUAGUCCUCAUUUCUGUCCAGAUCAUCUCAUUAUACUCCAAGGACCAUUCUGGAAUUUUACCAAAUUUUUAGGGUCAAAUUGUAUUUUUUGCCAAAUUGGAGGACUAAAUUGAAAGUGUUAAAUUCUCUUAUCUAUACAGUAAUUCUGUCCAUAAUUCAUAUGUUAUUCUGUUCAGAAUCUCGGAAUAGGCUCCAGGGACCAAUCUGCAAAUUUUCCAAAGUUUGGGGACUAAACUGUAAUUUUCCAAAAUUGAGAGACCAAACCGAAAUUUUGUCAUCUUCAACCUCCAACCCAGAAUUCCAACAGAAAACCCACUGUUCUUUCCUUAUUUCUAACACAAAUUCACCAUUCAAACAAAAUCAUAACUCAAAAUCAUCAUCUUUCAAUUCAAUCUCUCAAAUUCAACCAAAUAAUCAAAUACCCACAACAAUUAACCCUACAACAUCCAAAUUAACUCAUAAAUCAAACUCAAAACACAAAUUUCAUAACCCUAACAUUUAUCAAAAUCAAAAUUAAAGCUUAAUUAACACAUAUUUAUACAUAAUCUUACCUUUUUACUUAUUUCCUUCAAUUCCUUUCUAUUUCCCUUCUAAUUUCCCUCUUUUCUCUUCUUCUUCUUUCUCCCUUUCUCUCCUGCCGGUUCUCUCUCAAAAUUC
rnacentral:lncRNA from 1 species